AUUGAACGCUGGCGGCAUGCCUAACACAUGCAAGUCGAGCGGAUGGACGGAGCUUGCUCCUGGAUUCAGCGGCGGACGGGCGAGUGAUGCAUAGGAGUCUGCCUGGCCGUGGGGGAUAACGUCCGGAAACGGGCGCUAAUACCGCAUCGGACAUGAUGGUGAACGUGGGGGAUCUUAGGAGCUCACGCUAUUAGAUGAGACUAGGUCGGAUUAGCUAGUUGGUGGGGUAAAGGCCUACCAAGGCGACGAUCCGUAGCUGGUCUGAGAGGAUGAUCAGCCACACUGGAACUGAGACACGGUCCAGACUCCUACGGGAGGCAGCAGUGGGGAAUAUUGGACAAUGGGCGAAAGCCUGAUCCAGCCACGCCGCGUGUGUGAUGAAGGUCUUCGGAUUGUAAAGCACUUUUAGUUGGGAAGAAGAGAAGUGAGUUAAUAUGUUGCUGUUUUGACGGUACCAACAGAAAAAGCCCCGGCUAACUUCGUG
rnacentral:rRNA from 1 species